rnacentral:rRNA from 1 species
AUGAAGGCCCUUGAUCGAGAUGAUUCAGUGAAGGAGGAGCUGCCAGAAGCAGUUGCAUCAUAUAAACCUGACUACUUGAGAGGUGCUUGCUUGCAGGGCCUGAAGAUGCUCUGGACCGCCAUGGGCUCGUGCUUGGCGCCACCUAGGUUGGCGAUUGGAGGUUGGAAAUGGUCCCAUGCAGCAGACGGAAAGAACAGUGGCGUAGUGGUGCCAUGGAUGGAGUCCAAGAACCCUGCAACCACUACGUUGCAACCAACACGAUUAAUUCAAGCUCCAAUUGGACGCCCAUCUUGCUUAUCCUCAUAA